GAUGAACGCUGGCGGCGUGCCUAAUACAUGCAAGUCGAGCGAACAGACGAGGAGCUUGCUCCUCUGACGUUAGCGGCGGACGGGUGAGUAACACGUGGAUAACCUACCUAUAAGACUGGGAUAACUUCGGGAAACCGGAGCUAAUACCGGAUAAUAUAUUGAACCGCAUGGUUCAAUAGUGAAAGACGGUUUUGCUGUCACUUAUAGAUGGAUCCGCGCCGCAUUAGCUAGUUGGUAAGGUAACGGCUUACCAAGGCAACGAUGCGUAGCCGACCUGAGAGGGUGAACGGCCACACUGGAACUGAGACACGUCCAGACUCCUGCGGGAGGCAGCAGUAGGGAAUCUUCCGCAAUGGGCGAAAGCCUGACGGAGCAACGCCGCGUGAGUGAUGAAGGUCUUCGGAUCGUAAAACUCUGUUAUUAGGGAGGAACAAAUGUGUAAGUAACUAUGCACGUCUUGACGGUACCUAAUCAGAAAGCCACGGCUAACUACGUG
rnacentral:rRNA from 1 species